UUAGUACUCCCUCCGUCCCAAAAUUCUUGUCUUAGAUUCGUCUAGAUACGGAUGUAUCUAAUACUAAAAUGUGACUUCAUACAUCCGUAUUUAGACAAAUCUAAGACAAGAAUUUUAGGACGGAGGGAGUACUAC
rnacentral:pre_miRNA from 1 species